rnacentral:rRNA from 1 species
UACGAAGGGGGCUAGCGUUGCUCGGAAUCACUGGGCGUAAAGGGUGCGUAGGCGGGGCUUUAAGGCAGGGGUGAAAUCCUGGAGCUCAACUCCAGAACUGCCUUUGAUACUGGAGAGCUUGAGUCCGGGAGAGGUGAGUGGAACUCCGAGUGUAGAGGUGAAAUUCGUAGAUAUUAGGAAGAACACCAGUGGCGAAGGCGGCUCACUGGCCCGGUACUGACGCUGAGGUACGAAAGCGUGGGGAGCAAACAGG